GGUGGAAACUGCCUGGCUUGGGACCGGAAGACCAGAGGGGUACGUCUGGGGUAGGAGUGAAAUCCCGUAAUCCUGGACGGACCACCGGUGGCGAAAGCGCCUCUGGAAGACGGAUCCGACGGUGAGGGACGAAAGCUCGGGUCACGAACCGGAUUAGAUACCCGGGUAGUCCGAGCUGUAAACGAUGUCUGCUAGGUGUGCCACAGGCUACGAGCCUGUGGUGUGCCGCAGGGAAGCCGUGAAGCAGACCGCCUGGGAAGUACGUCCGCAAGGAUGAAACUUAAAGGAAUUGGCGGGGGAGCACUACAACCGGAGGAGCCUGCGGUUUAAUUGGACUCAACGCCGGACAUCUCACCAGCAUCGACAGUAGGAGUGACGGUCAGUGUGAUGAGCUUACCAGACCUACUGAGAGGAGGUGCAUGGCCGCCGUCAGCUCGUACCGUGAGGCGUCCUGUUAAGUCAGGCAACGAGCGAGACCCGCACUCCUAAUUGCCAGCAACACCCUUGUGGUGGUUGGGUACAUUAGGAGGACUGCCAGUGCCAAACUGGAGGAAGGAACGGGCAACGGUAGGUCAGUAUGCCCCGAAUGUGCUGGGCAACACGCGGGCUACAAUGGUCGAGACAGUGGGAUGCAACCCCGAGAGGGGGCGCUAAUCUCCGAAACUCGAUCGUAGUUCGGAUUGCGGACUGAAACUCGUCCGCAUGAAGCUGGAUUCGGUAGUAAUCGCCGUUCAGAGACCGCCGUGA
rnacentral:rRNA from 1 species